AAUCAAUGAAGAGUUUGAUCCUGGCUCAGAACGAACGCUGGUGGCGUGUCUUAUACAUGCAAGU
rnacentral:rRNA from 1 species